rnacentral:rRNA from 1 species
GACGAACCGUGCGAACGUUAUUCGGAAUCACUGGGCUUAAAGCGCGUGUAGGCGGGUAGGCACGUCGGUCGCUGAAAUCCCCCGGCUCAACCGGGGAACGGGCGCGGAUACGACUCUCCUUGAGGGGCGUAGGGGGACCUGGAACUUCCGGUGGAGCGGUGAAAUGCGUUGAGAUCGGAAGGAACGCCCGUGGCGAAAGCGAGGUCCUGGACGACUACUGACGCUGAGACGCGAAAGCCAGGGGAGCGAACGGG